rnacentral:rRNA from 1 species
CUACACCGUGACAAGAAGCCCACCAUGUUCUUGAAACUUGAUAUUGCAAAAGCUUUUGAUUCUGUCAAGUGGGAUUACCUGUUGGAUGUUAUGAAACAAGUGGGAUUCAGUGAGAGAUUCAGAGACCUAAUUGCAAUUUCCCUCGCCUCAACCUCCUCGCGUAUCAUUCUUAAUGGGGAGCCAGGUUCUCCUUUCUUUCACCGAUGUGGAUUGAGGCAGGGCGACCCUCUGUCACCUCUUCUCUUCCUGCUUGCCAUCGACCCACUUCAGAGAAUUUUGGAGAAGGCCACCGAGGAGCACAUUCUUAGUCCCAUCAGCCACCGAUCGGCCUCUAUGAGGAUCAGCCUGUACGCAGAUGAUGCCGCACUCUUCUUAAACCCAAGCAAAACGGAGGUGGCUGCCCUCCAAGAAAUUUUGGCUGCUUUUGGCAAUGUUUCAGGGCUCUGCACCAACUUCAACAAAUCUGCUGCAUACCCAAUUGCUUGUGAGGAAGAG